rnacentral:rRNA from 1 species
AUUGAACGCUGGCGGCAGGCCUAACACAUGCAAGUCGAACGAGUGGCGGACGGGUGAGUAAUGUCUGGGGAACUGCCCGAUGGAGGGGGAUAACUACUGGAAACGGUAGCUAAUACCGCAUACUAUCAGAUGAGCCCAGAUGGGAUUAGCUUGUUGGUGAGGUAACGGCUCACCAAGGCGACGAUCCCUAGCUGGUCUGAGAGGAUGACCAGCCACACUGGGACUGAGACACGGCCCAGACUCCUACGGGAGGCAGCAGUGGGGAAUAUUGCACAAUGGGCGCAAGCCUGAUGCAGCCAUGCCGCGUGUAUGAAGAAGGCCUUCGGGUUGUAAAGUACUUUCAGCGGGGAGGCGUUACCGACAGAAGAAGCACCGGCUAACUCCGUGCCAGCAGCCGCGGUAAUAC